GGGCCCUCGGGGGGCAGCAGUGAGGAAUAUUGGUCAAUGGGCGGGAGCCUGAACCAGCCAAGCCGCGUGAGGGAAGAAGGUACAGCGUAUCGUAAACCUCUUUUGUCAGGGAACAAAGGCGGGGACUAGUCCCCGGAUGAGGGUACCUGAAGAAAAAGCAUCGGCUAACUCCGUGCCAGCAGCCGCGGUAAUACGGAGGAUGCGAGCGUUAUCCGGAUUUAUUGGGUUUAAAGGGUGCGCAGGCGGCCUGUUAAGUCAGCGGUAAAAGCCCGGGGCUCAACCCCGUACUGCCGUUGAAACUGCAU
rnacentral:rRNA from 1 species